ACUCCUGCGGGAGGCAGCAGUGGGGAAUAUUGGACAAUGGGCGCAAGCCUGAUCCAGCCAUGCCGCGUGAGUGAUGAAGGCCCUAGGGUUGUAAAGCUCUUUCACCGGUGAAGAUAAUGACGGUAACCGGAGAAGAAGCCCCGGCUAACUUCGUGCCAGCAGCCGCGGUAAUACGAAGGGGGCUAGCGUUGUUCGGAUUUACUGGGCGUAAAGCGCACGUAGGCGGACUAUUAAGUCAGGGGUGAAAUCCCGGGGCUCAACCCCGGAACUGCCUUUGAUACUGGUAGUCUUGAGUUCGAGAGAGGUGAGUGGAAUUCCGAGUGUAGAGGUGAAAUUCGUAGAUAUUCGGAGGAACACCAGUGGCGAAGGCGGCUCACUGGCUCGAUACUGACGCUGAGGUGCGAAAGCGUGGGGAGCAAACAGGAUUAGAAACCCGGGUAGUCCCAUGAU
rnacentral:rRNA from 1 species